rnacentral:rRNA from 1 species
GAUGAACGCUGGCGGUGUGCCUAAUACAUGCAAGUCGAGCGGUAAGGUCUCUUCGGAGAUACACGAGCGGCGGACGGGUGAGUAACGCGUAAGAAUGUACCCCAAAGUGAGGGAUAAGCACCAGAAAUGGUGUCUAAUACCGCAUGUGCUCUUCGGAGUAAAGCUUCGGCGCUUUGGGAACAGCUUGCGUAUGAUUAGCUAGUUGGUAAGGUAAUGGCUUACCAAGGCGACGAUCAUUAGCGGGUCUGAGAGGAUGAUCCGCCACACUGGGACUGAGACACGGCCCAGACUCCUACGGGAGGCAGCAGUAGGGAAUUUUCCACAAUGGGGGCAACCCUGAUGGAGCAACACCGCGUGCAGGAUGAAGGCCUUCGGGUUGUAAACUGCUUUUGUCUGUGACGAAUAUGACGGUAGCAGACGAAUAAGGAUCGGCUAACUACGUGCCAGCCGCCGCGGUAA